CCCUCUAUAGCUCAACGACAGGGCGUCCGUCUCGUAAACAGAAGGUCUGCGGUUCAAUCCGGCAUGGAGGCA
rfam:Angiostrongylus costaricensis strain Costa Rica genome assembly, scaffold: ACOC_contig0002821